UUAAGGUAGGCGGAAUGUGUAAUGUAGCGGUGAAAUGCUUAGAUAUUACACAGAACACCAAUUGCGUAGGCAGCUUACUGAGCCGACACUGACGCUGAGGCACGAAAGCGUGGGGAUCAAACAGGAUUAGAUACCCUGGUAGUCCACGCCGUAAACGAUGAUUACUCGCUGUUGGCGAUACACUGUCAGCGGCUAAGCAAAAGCAAUAAGUAAUCCACCUGGGGAGUACGGCCGCAAGGUUGAAACUCAAAGGAAUUGACGGGGGCCCGCACAAGCGGAGGAACAUGUGGUUUAAUUCGAUGAUACGCGAGGAACCUUACCUGGGCUUAAAUGUAGAGUGCAUUUUCUAGAGAUAGAAAUUCCCUUCGGGGCUUUCUGCAAGGUGCUGCAUGGUUGUCGUCAGCUCGUGCCGUGAGGUGUCGGGUUAAGUCCCAUAACGAGCGCAACCCUUAUCGUUAGUUGCCAGCUGGUAAAGCAGGGGACUCUAGCGAAACUGCCACCGUAAGGUGAGAGGAAGGUGGGGAUGACGUCAAAUCAGCACGGCCCUUAUGUCCAGGGCUACACACGUGUUACAAUGGCCGGUACAGAGGGCUGCUACCUGGUGACAGGAUGCUAAUCUCGAAAACCGGUCUCAGUUCGGAUCGAAGUCUGCAACUCGACUUCGUGAAGCCGGAUUCGCUAGUAAUCGCGCAUCAGCAACGGCGCGGUGAAUACGUUCCCGGGCCUUGUACACACCGCCCGUCAAGCCAUGGAAGCUGGGGGUGCCUGAAGUCCGUAACCGCAAGGAGCGGCCUAGGGUAAAACUAGUGACUGGGGCUAAGUCGUAACAAGGUAACCGUA
rnacentral:rRNA from 1 species